AUGCUUUAUGGCUUAGAAUCGGGACUUCAACGACGUUUUGAACGUCAUGGAGCAUAUGAGAUGUUCCAGGAGUUAAAGUUAAUAUUUCAAGCAAAUGCCCGGAUUGAGAGAUAUGAAGUCUCCAAUAAGUUCUAUAGCUGCAAGAUGGAGGAGAACAGUUCUGUCAGUGCGCAUAUACUCAAAAUGUCUGGGUAUAAUAAUCACUUGAUUCAAUUGGGAGUUAAUCUUUCAGAUGAUUGCGUCAUUGACAGAAUUCUCCAAUCACUGCCACCUAGCUACAAGAGCUUCAUGAUGAACUAUAAUAUGCAAGGGACGAAUAAGACUAUUCCCGAGCUCUUCGCAAUGCUGAAAGCUGCGAAGGUAGAAAUCAAGAAGGAGCAUCAAGUGUUGAUGGUCAACAAGACCACUAGUUUCAAGAAAAAGGGCAAAGGAAAGAAGAAGGGGAAUUUCAAAAAGAAUAGCAAGCAAGUUGCUGCUCAAGAGAAGAAACCCAAAUCUGGACCUAAGCCUGAAACUGAGUGCUUCUACUGCAAGCAGACUGGUCACUGGAAGCAGAACUGCCCCAAGUAUUUG
rnacentral:rRNA from 1 species